UUCACUGCGAAAUAGCCACUGGAAACGGUGAGUACUACCGCAUACGCCCUUCGGGGGAAAGAUUUAUCGGUGAAGGAUCGGCCCGCGUUACAUUACAUAGUUGGUGGGGUAACGGCCUACCAAGUCUACUAUCUAUAGCUGGUUUUACAGGAUGAUCAGCAACUCUGGGACUGAUACACGGCCCAGACUCCUACGGGAGGCAGCGAUGGGGAAUCUUGGACAAUGGGCGCAAGCCUGAUCCAGCCAUGCCGCGUGAGUGAUGAAGGCCUUAGGGUCGUAAAGCUCUUUCGCCAGAGAUGAUUAUGACUGUAUCUGGUAAAGAAACCCCGGCUAACUCCGUGCCAGCAGCCGCGGUAAUACGGAGGGGGUUAGCGUUGUUCGGAAUUACUGGUCGUAGCGCGCACGUACGCGGAUCAGAAAGUUGGGGGUGAAAUCCCGGGGCUCAGCCCCGGAACUGCCUCCAAAACUCCUGGUCUUGAGUUCGAGAGAGGUGAGUGGAAUUCCGAGUGUAUAGGUGAAAUUCUGAGAUAUUCGGAGGAACACCAGUGGCGAAGGCGUCUCACUGGCUCGAUACUGA
rnacentral:rRNA from 1 species